rnacentral:rRNA from 1 species
CUACGUGCCAGCAGCCGCGGUAAUACGGAGGAUGCGAGCGUUAUCCGGAUUUAUUGGGUUUAAAGGGUGCGUAGGCGGCCUGUUAAGUCAGCGGUGAAACCUAGGGGCUUAACUCYUAAAUUGCCAUUGAUACUGGUGGGCUUGAGUGUAGAUGAGGUAGGCGGAAUGCGUGGUGUAGCGGUGGAAUGCAUAGAUAUCACGCAGAACUCCAAUUGCGAAGGCAGCUUACUAAGGUACAACUGACGCUGAAGCACGAAAGCGUGGGUAUCAAACAGGAUUAGAUACCCUGGUAGUCCACGCAGUAAACGAUGAUAACUGGGCGUAUGCGAUAUACAGUAUGCUCCUAAGCGAAAGCAUUAAGCAUCCCACCUGGGGAGUACGCCGGCAACGGUGAAACUCAAAGGAAUUGACGGGGGCCCGCACAAGCGGAGGAACAUGUGGUUUAGUUCGAUGAUACGCGAGGAACCUUACCCGGGCUUGAA